rnacentral:rRNA from 1 species
AAAUUGAAGAGUUUGAUCAUGGCUCAGAUUGAACGCUGGCGGCAGGCCUAACACAUGCAAGUCGAACGGUAGCACAGAGAGCUUGCUCUCGGGUGACGAGUGGCGGACGGGUGAGUAAUGUCUGGGAAACUGCCUGAUGGAGGGGGAUAACUACUGGAAACGGUGGCUAAUACCGCAUAACGUCGCAAGACCAAAGAGGGGGACCUUCGGGCCUCUUGCCAUCAGAUGUGCCCAGAUGGGAUUAGCUUGUUGGUGAGGUAACGGCUCACCAAGGCGACGAUCCCUAGCUGGUCUGAGAGGAUGACCAGCCACACUGGAACUGAGACACGGUCCAGACUCCUACGGGAGGCAGCAGUGGGGAAUAUUGCACAAUGGGCGCAAGCCUGAUGCAGCCAUGCCGCGUGUAUGAAGAAGGCCUUCGGGUUGUAAAGUACUUUCAGCGGGGAGGAAGGUGUUGUGGUUAAUAACCACAGCAAUUGACGUUACCCGCAGAAGAAGCACCGGCUAACUCCGUGCCAGCAGCCGCGGUAAUACGGAGGGUGCAAGCGUUAAUCGGAAUUACUGGGCGUAAAGCGCACGCAGGCGGUCUGUCAAGUCGGAUGUGAAAUCCCCGGGCUCAACCUGGGAACUGCAUUCGAAACUGGCAGGCUUGAGUCUUGUAGAGGGGGGUAGAAUUCCAGGUGUAGCGGUGAAAUGCGUAGAGAUCUGGAGGAAUACCGGUGGCGAAGGCGGCCCCCUGGACAAAGACUGACGCUCAGGUGCGAAAGCGUGGGGAGCAAACAGGAUUAGAUACCCUGGUAGUCCACGCCGUAAACGAUGUCUACUUGGAGGUUGUGCCCUUGAGGCGUGGCUUCCGGAGCUAACGCGUUAAGUAGACCGCCUGGGGAGUACGGCCGCAAGGUUAAAACUCAAAUGAAUUGACGGGGGCCCGCACAAGCGGUGGAGCAUGUGGUUUAAUUCGAUGCAACGCGAAGAACCUUACCUGGUCUUGACAUCCACAGAAGAAUCCAGAGAUGGAUUUGUGCCUUCGGGAACUGUGAGACAGGUGCUGCAUGGCUGUCGUCAGCUCGUGUUGUGAAAUGUUGGGUUAAGUCCCGCAACGAGCGCAACCC